rnacentral:tRNA from 1 species
GGUUAUAGCUCAGUGGUAGAGCACUUGCCUAGCACAUGGGAGAUGCUGGGUUUGAGCCUCAGCACCA